GAAAGUCACCUCGUUGAGAUUUGUGAAUGAGACUUGGAACAUAUUCUUGUCCAGAUGACAUCUAGUGGGGUUUGGGAAUUGGGGUAGAGUUCCCACUUUCGACUUCGGUGUUCUUUGCGGUUGAAGGUUGAUAUCCGAGAAGUUUCCACCAUCAGAGAUUAUCUGAAUAUUUGAAGUAACCCCCUAGCUAAUGGAGCUUGGAGCAUGAUGCUGGACACAGAGUCGGAAUUCUGAAUGCCCCAUCAAGCUGUAAUUGUUUCUCUGCUAGUUACCAUAUGAUGUCUCCCCCAAUCAAGAUUUGGAAGUUGUUAGUUAUACAAUUAUGUUAGGUAAUGAUUACAGACAGUUGUCAUUUUUAUUUUGAUUUGAUUUCACUUCUCUUCCUUAUUUCCCUUGCAUUCAGACUGAGCCUGUGUGACUGCAAUUUUCGACCAUGUGCCGCAUAAGUAGUUCCUUGAAUAUCGGUGAUAGCCUACAUCAGACUGCAAUCACCAUUGUUGAAUGUUCUUCUUCCUUUUAAGUUAAAAGCCUUUAGUCUCUUGUCAA